GAUGAACGCUAGCGGCAGGCCUAAUACAUGCAAGUCAAGGGGAUAGCAAUAUCACCGGCGGACGGGUGCGUAACGCGUACACAACGUGCCCAAGGGCGGAGGAAAGCGGCGGGAAACUGCCGGUAAUACUCCAUGGUGUUGUUGAGUGGCAUCACUUAACAACUAAAGUACAAGCGCCCUUGGAUCGGUGUGCGUUCGAUUAGCUAGUUGGCGGGGUAACGGCCCACCAAGGCUUCGAUCGAUAGGGGGUGUGAGAGCAUGACCCCCCACACGGGUACUGAGACACGGACCCGACUCCUACGGGAGGCAGCAGUAAGGAAUAUUGGACAAUGGGCGGAAGCCUGAUCCAGCCCAUGCCGCGUGAAGGACGAAGGCGCUCAGCGUUGUAAACUUCUUUUGGAUGGGAACAAUAACUCCGACUUGUCGGAACUUGAGGGUACCAUCAGAAUAAGCACCGGCUAACUCCGUG
rnacentral:rRNA from 1 species